rnacentral:rRNA from 1 species
GACGAACGCUGGCGGCGUGCUUAACACAUGCAAGUCGAACGGAAAGGCCCUGCUUUUGUGGGGUGCUCGAGUGGCGAACGGGUGAGUAACACGUGAGUAACCUGCCCUUGACUUUGGGAUAACUUCAGGAAACUGGGGCUAAUACCGGAUAGGAGCUCCUGCUGCAUGGUGGGGGUUGGAAAGUUUCGGCGGUUGGGGAUGGACUCGCGGCUUAUCAGCUUGUUGGUGGGGUAGUGGCUUACCAAGGCUUUGACGGGUAGCCGGCCUGAGAGGGUGACCGGCCACAUUGGGACUGAGGGACGGCCCAGACUCCUACGGGAGGCAGCAGUGGGGAAUAUUGCACAAUGGGCGGAAGCCUGAUGCAGCAACGCCGCGUGCGGGAUGACGGCCUUCGGGUUGUAAACCGCUUUCGCCUGUGACGAAGCGUGAGUGACGGUAAUGGGUAAAGAAGCACCGGCUAACUACGUGC